rnacentral:lncRNA from 1 species
AAAGAAAGGAAGGAAGGAAGGGAAAGGAAAGAAGAAAGAAAGAGAAAGCAAGCAAGCAAUCAAGCAGAAAAAAGAAAGAAAGACACCAAGGUUUUUUUGAACUGGGCGACCAGAAACAUGGAAUUGGCACCUAUUGCAAUGGAGGAAGAGAUCAAGUUCAUGAAGGGGUGAGCAAUAAUUUAGUUUUAGAUCUGUUAAAUCUACACUCAAUUGCCAGUGCCAGAAACCUGAGAAUUAUCCCAGACUACUCCCAUUCCCUUACUACCACCACUCCCAAACCCUAUAUCUGAUCCAUCAACAAGUCAGAUCACUUCACUCUCCAAAAUAUGUCUUGAAUAAGUCCAUGGAAGAAACACACAGCAUGAAGAGAGUCUGUUCAAAGGGGGUCAGAAAAGUCUGGGAUAGCUUCCCUGCAGAAGUGACAUGAGGUGAGACCUGAAGGAUGUGUCAGAGGGGACUGGGCAAAGACAGGAGGGUAGCAGAUGCCAGGCAGAAGGAACAGCACAUGCAGAGACAAGAAGAAGCCUGUGUGUUUGGAGUGGAGCAUAGGAGAGCUCCAUGUAGGAUGACCCUGGAGAGGUGGCUAUUAAAAAAUUUACUUGGGAAGGAUCUGGGGGUCCCCAUCUGGUCAGGCAUUGGUCCUUUGGUUUCUGGAUUGUGGGAAAUUCUGUAUAGGGUCCUGGGGAGGGAGCUAGGAUAGCAGGGGACCUUUGGGGUACAGGUGGUGGUGCUCAGGGUGAGGAUGUAUUCCAAUAUUUGAACAACCUUUAUGGCUAUGCAGGUGUGUUCCAGCCAGUGGUUAGGGCAGAAAGGUGUGCAGGACCCAACCAGGAGGACUUAGAGAGUGUAUAGAGAGUUUUGCCUGCAUCCUGACAAUAUUGGGGCUGAAGGUGGUGAGGGGCAGAACCGCUAGUGGGUUUUGCCAGGACCUGGAUGAGAAUAGUGAGGUAUUGCUAUGGGCAUGGAAUUUAAGUAGAGGCCAAAAAUCAGUAAAUAAGAUGACUAAUAAUGUAAUGUUUUAAAAUUUAAAAGUAAUGCAAAAAAUCUACUAUGAACAAAAUACCAAAAUUUAUACCAAAAAUUUUGAUAAAAACAUCUAACCUUGCACUUGCACAUCAUGGCCUCCUUUUACCUUAGUGCAGUCCUCGCCCUGUCAGAAGCUGUCCUUAUGGAAACUUUUUAUGUUUUCCUCAUUGUGGAUUUUUUUGCAUUAAUUUUGAUUUUUUUAAAUUUUUAUCUUGAUCUCUUGAGUAAUUUUGAUGCCACCAUAAAUUUUGUGCCUCACCCACCUCACUCUAGUCCCAGUCCUGGCUUUGAGGUGGUAGCUCAGGCUUGUGGGGAGUGGAGGCUGGUGGGGCCAGGGUGGGUGGGGAGGCAAGUGGGUGUGGGGUGCACGUGAGAAAUGCAGCCAGAUUGUGUGGAUGCGGGCGGGAGGAGAUGUGCAGGCAGGCCUGCUGCUCGCUCCCCCUUCAGAAUAUUCUGAGGAGGGGGCAAGAGGGGGAUGCUGUCAGCAGCCCAUCUGUCCUACAUGCCUGCCAACCAGGCUUGUGAGCUAGGCGCCCACUUCCCUCAGCAAGGCUGCUGGAAAACCAUUUUCCCAGGAGGUGGGAAGUAACUUGCAGUUGGACUUGGCCUUGCCUUGGGGCUGAUCCAAGAUGGUCCCCAGGAGCUGACGAACUCCUGUCUUCUCCCUACCAGUGCCCACUCUGAGCCACUCCCCUCCUCAGUUAUACCCCCUGUGAGCCCUGGUCCUAGCUGUAACUUCUCUCAUAUGGUCCACCAGUCACAUGCUCUGAGGCCUCAUGGGCACACAAACCUGCUUGUGUCACUGAUGUCUCAGAUGGUGCCCAGACCUUGAACAUAACUGACCUCUGUGGCCCUGCAGGUCACAGCUGGGAAAUAGAUCCUGGACAUCCAUUAAGGGUCUUGAGCACUAAGGCCAUCUCAUGAGUUAAAUUGGACGUCAGAGUCUUGAGAUGUGAUUGUCAAGACAUUGUCAGGUCAGAAGCAUAUUCUCUCAGGCUCUGAAUAAAGAAAUAAGAAGGGCAGAGGGAAUGGGGGAAAGGUACUAGCACAGAGGUCAGCAAACCUGGUUUCUAGUCCUGGCUGCUGGGCCAUCUAUUUAGUGUGAACUUAAACAAAUCCCUUUGUCUCUCUGAGCCUCGGAGUCUCUGUCUGACAGAUUAAGAAAUUAGGCUAGAGGGGCCCCAGUGUUUCUAUUACCUGUGUGUGUGCUAGGUACUCUGGGAGAUCUUAAGAAGAGAAGAAUUUAUGGUCCUGUUCUUGAGGGUAAAUCAUUAAGGUGGUAUGUCAGCUAUCGUCACAAUGAUGCUGUGUGACAUAUCAACCCUAUGCUCAGCUUUCAUGCCUUAACACUACAACCACUUAUACUCAUGCUCCAGGUUCUACAGGUCAGCGUCACUCAGCUGGGAUAGGCUGGAUCAUGGGCUUUAGGCUGCAGGUUGGGUACAGUUUCAUUCUACAUACCUCUCAUAUUUCAUGGGCCAGCAGCUACUCCAUGGUUACCAUGGCACAGGACAGUAAGCCAAACUGGGUAAGCAGAUAUCUAGCUUCUGCCCACUUCUCAUGUCCAUUGGCCAAAACAAGUCACAUGGACAACUCCCAAAUCAAGAGGUGGGGAAGUUCAUCACCUACCAUGAAGCUAUGGUGUAGGUGUAUAAUACUACUUCAGGAGAGUGAAGGAUUGGGACCAAUAAUCCAUCUGCACAGUUGGAGAAGACAAGAAUAACCCAACGAGCGUGAAAAGGUGCUACACGUCAUGGUGUAGCCAGUCCACCUCUACCUAUUCCAUAGCUUUGAAUCUCAAAUCUGCCCAGUGGCACUGGCAUCACCAGCUAACUCAGACUUCAAAGAUACCCAGGUCAGGUGUGGGGCAGUGGGGCACCUGGAGCCUCCCAUGUUAGAGACAGAACUAAGAGGGAUUCAACAGCUGCCUUUAACUGGCUCUUUUAUUCAUUCUAGCCUGAAUGUCAACUCACCAGCCUGAGCUUGUUAAAACUAUGUCAUUGUGCCUUCCUUCCUCUGGCAGUCUUUGUAUCACAAUAUGAAGCUUUGGGAAUGAAGUCAAGGGGAAGUGCAAACUUAAGAAGCUUUAAGGGACCAGGUUUUGAUACAUCAGCAGAACCCCUAAAUGCAGCCAUACCUGAAGCCAGGCUUUCUCACUUUCAUAGAUCAAUAAAUUCCUUUUUUUUUUUUUUUUUGUCUUAAACCAUUAUUCAUGUGGGGUUUUCUGUCACUUGCAACAGAAUGAGCAGGCUGGGCUUAAUACAAGAGCUUGCCUGUCCAGAAGGGUCCCAUGUGGUUCUCUCCCACAUGGGUGGCAUGUCCGAUGUGGAGCCUUGCUGCUCAAAGUGUGGUCUUUGGAUCAACAGUAUUAGCAUCACUUAGAGGCUUAUUAGAGAUGCAGAAUCUUGGACCCCUCUCCAGAUCUUUAGAAUGAAAGUCUUCAUUUUAAUAUAUUUUAGCUAGAGCCCUAUUCAUUUGUACAGUAACAUUUGAGAAGCAUUUGUGUUGGGGAUCAGGACAAGCCUCCCCCACUCCUUUUUUUGUGAUUGGGUACAGGGUUCAAAUUCUGGCUUUGUUACUUGUGACUGGAGGGGUAAUGACAGGUGUAUUUUUUUAAAUCUCAGAGCCUCAGUUUUCUCUUCAGGAGAAUGGGGAUAAUAACAGUAGCUACCUCCCACAGCUUUUGAAAGGAAAUUGGCGUAUUUAACUCAUGGGAAAUGGAAGGGCUCAAAAUGUGCCCGCUACGAUUAUUUCCACAACUCUAUGGUGGGGUUGUUUUAUAUUCAACCCGCCUAAUAACUUUUGAGAGAUCAAAUGAGACAACAGAUGGGGAAAUAUUUUUGGAAUGUUUAAACUAAUGAAAAAGUAGUGAUUUUUCUAAAUCUUAAAACUAUUCACAAGGGUUGUUUCAGCUGUAAGUGAUUAGUAACUGGUUGGUUUUGACCUGUACACUUAAGCAAAUGUAGGAACCAGGUGAAGAAGCAAGGUGAGGACAACAGGAGGGAGCAGUACUCUGAUCUGAGAGUCAAAAGGGCAAAAGUGCCUUGUCUCACAGAGAAAGGGAGGAUCAGAGCAUCUGGCCAGGAGUCCUGGCUGAAGACAGACCCUAGAGAGCCCUGGGUGGUAGGUAAAACCACUGCAAGCCUUGCUCAGCAGGCACUGAAGAUAAAACUAAUCGUAGUGACAUUGGCUUCUGACCUGUGGGAUUAUGUGUCUGUUUUUCCAACAAUGUGGCUUCACUUGGUGCACGAACCUCAGAAGAGCUUCUUGAAGCUUUGAAGUGGGUUUUGAACGCCUGGCCUAGCCCAGCUCUUCCACAGAGGAUCACAGGGUGGAAUUGCCUGGAAGCCGGUACAGGCCAUGAAGGAAGGGAGCCUUGUGCCUGGGUGUCACUCAGCCUCUGCAGAUCAACACUGCCCCAUGGGAGGCUAGAUAUGAAGCCUGAGGACUUCUGUGAUUGACUCUGUGUGUGACUGAGAGUUGGGCUACCAGCUUAAUGGAGACCAUUAGCUGAGGUAAGAGUGGGACAGGAAGGGGCUUUAGAGGGUGCUUCCAAGGCUCUAGAAUGAGGUCUGCCACCUUGUCUUAGAAUCCUGGGCAUCCUUGAUUCCACUUGGGCAUCUGUUCUGGGGGAGGUACUGACCUUGGCUUAUGAGAUCUGUAGCAAGGAAAGUGGGAGAGGAAACAGGUUACUAGGUACAAUUAGUACUCACAAUUAGUCUUUAAGAUAUCAUCUAUGGAUUGUAAACAAAGAUAUUGAAACUGAGAGGGAGAAAUUCCAUUUCCAACUUCAGGCAUGGAGAGUCAUUAUAAUGGGAUAAAGAAAACAGGCUGAAAUCGGCAGAACUGGGUUCUAAGCCCUCUCUUACUAUCUGUUUUGUUAGCUCUGUGAGAUCAUGGGAAAAUCACUUCACUUCUUUGUACAUUCACUUCCUUAUCAAAAGGUAGGACAAAUACACCCUUUUUGCAGGACUGAUGUUAAAAUGAUACACAGUAGCACAAUUGAAAUACAUAGAGCAGUAGAUGGGACAUGGUAAGGAAGUAAAGAUUGUUGAUUAUUAUCUCAUUUAGAAUCUAAAGGUCUAGGGGGAUUAACAUGAACAGGGUGGUGAAUUUGGAGAAAGGCCUCUCUGAGUAGGUGAUACAUCAAUUGAGAUAAAAGGGAGGCAGCAUUAUGAGCAUUAAGGGAUAAGGGAUUUAUUACAGUAAUUCAUUAUAGUCUUAUAAUGAGGGGGACUGGGAAGUGAAGUCCAGAGGAGAAGGGGAAUUGGAAGAUCAUAGAAAGAGCCAAUAAUAGUUCUGAAGGCCUACUAGUUGGAAAGGUUGGAGCAAUAGGGAGACCCAAGAAAUCAAGCCCAUCCAAUCAGCAAGGUCAGGCCACGAAGGGAGCUCAUGGAAGGGGCUUUGAGGUACUGUAGCCUCUGCAUCUCUGGGUUUGCAGCCACACAUCUGGAGGUGGGUCUUGGGUAGCUGUUGGACAGAAAGGCCUGAAGUUUGAAAGAUAAGCUGGACACAGAGCAGAGGAGAGUAAGGACAAGCUGGGAUGCGCCAGCUACCUCUAUGUUUGUGCAUCAGCAUGUCUGACUGCCAUGAUCUUUUGAGAAUAAUGGCUGAUGCUUUGCUUCCUCCUUCUAAAUAUCAUUCAUGUUCCUAGUUUGGCCAGCUCUAUUCCAGAACAUUGCAAUAAGGAGGUUCUGGGAGAUGUUGUUCUGUCUUAUCCAAGUUAUAGUACAUUCCAUCCCAAUGCUGGUGCAAGAGUUACAAAGAGAAAAUCUGGAGAGGAGAAAGGCUGGAAUGGGAAAAAUCAGGAGUUCUAUCAUGGACAUGUUUAAUUUGAGAUGCCUAUUUAAAAUGGCCUCCAAUCAUCCUUGUAUCUUGCUGGCCCUGUGUUAUCCUCUCUCCUUGAGUGUGGUGUGAAUUUUGGAACUCACUUUGAGCAAAAAGAAUUGGGGAGAGGUGAUGGAACAUCGCUUCUGAGAUUGUUUGCAAAAAGACCAGGAGAUCCCAUUGUGGGUUGUGGGUUAUGAACCCAACUAGUACCCACGAGGAUGUGGGUUUAAUCCCUGGCCUCACUCAGUAGGCUAAGGAUCUGGCAUUGCCUUGAGCUGUGGUGUAGGGCACUCACUUGGCUUGGAUCCCAUGUGGCUGUGGCUGUGGCGUAGG